UUGUGUGUGAUCACUUGCUUUCUCACCUGUACUCUGAAACCUUCCUCUCCUACAAGUAAAGCUACCCUCCUUCUUCCUGCAUCUCAUCCCCUUUCCCUCCCGUGCGAUCUGAUCUUCAUUGGGUCAUCACACUACCACGCGUCACUACUGCCGCUCCGGCGUCACCCCCUGCCGCCUAAGGUCACAAUCCGUUCAAACUGAGUAACCAGGCCGUUCGUCGCCACCACCAAAGCCCAUUCAGUUGGCGUUGUUCGUGCAGCUGCCAAUGUGGUCGCUGGGGCUAGUCAACUUGAAGAUCUACAAGUCAUCAGUCCAACUUCUUGCUCUGCCGCCAGUCACUGAAGAAAGAGUCGCGUGUUGGCCACCCCAUGCUCGGCCCCCUGAUGCGGCAUUUUUUUUUCAAAAAUUUAAAGAGACUCAAGUCCAACUCGCAAACCAAUAGCAGUCCACGGUCCACUACUACAGCAAAUAUCCGAGUUUUCUUGUUGAUUUACGAGGGAUACCACAAGUCCUAUUUUUACAGAAGUUGAACUACAGGAUAUGAAGUUUGAUGGACGUGGAGGUUCUUUUGACCUUGAACUUUAUAAGAGUUCAGCUUUCACUUGAUUUUCAGUUCAAAAUUUGCAUUCUUUUCAGUACAUCAACUUAUCUGGCUUCUUCAACUGUUUGGACCAUUGCUUUGUUGAGCAAAGAAAGCUACCUUGUCUUGAAGACACUACUGCCACUUCUUUUCUCUCUACAGUCUUUUCCUUCUUCAGUCAUGAAGUAUCAGACGCUCUGCUGACUUUGAUUCGCCAAGAGCGUGAUGGAAUCAAUGCUGAUAUGGACAUCUUGAUGGGCAUUAUGCGUGGCAUAUGUCUCUCUGAAGUCAAAUCCUUCAUGAAAAAUGUUGUUGUUCAAGAUACAUAUGCUUACUACUCCAAGAAAAGUUCUGAAUGGAUUGUUUAGUACCCGAGUACCUUGCCAAAGUCAGUCGUAACUAAUGGGUUACUGAGUAGAGGUGUUGUUUCCUUUUUUUCUGAACACUAUUUAUAUGUGUUAUCUAUAGGUCCAGGAUUGUAUGGAGAAGGAAACCAUGAGAAUGAACGUGCAGAACAUCAAGGAAAUCUUGAAAAGUAUAUGUGCACUCUAUGUCUUUUUCUUAUGCUUACAAGUAUUCUGCACUCAUACUGUUAUGCAUAAGUUCAUGUUGCGUGUGGAGUUUCAGAUAUAUGAAAUUGAAUUAGGGCACCAUGCUCUCACCCAUGUAAUUUGUAGGGAAAACAUUAUAAGUUCGAAGAAAAUAAAUAUAAAAAUUCAUAUUUCAAAACAAAUGAAGUAUUUUGGAACUAAAAUGAAGUAUUUCAAAGUACAGAACUUCUAUUUAGGUUUCUUUUGUGUACUUCUAAUGUUACUGUGCAUGAACUUGUCAUUAUUUUUACAUGUUUUACAUGAUUAUUAUGGUCAUUUCGACCUUGAAAAAUUUCAUUUGCUUUUUUCCGUUCAUCUUAAAGGUCGAAGGAGCUCCCUUCAGUUCAAUGGAUUCAACAAAAUAAUCCAUGCUGCCUACUAGAACUUGCAUGUGUGCUGUGGCGUGUGUGCUGGUGCAUGCCUGGUGCCUGAUGCGGCGUGCGAGCAUGUACACAAAUUGAGCUGAGUUAUCUCUAGUAAGUGAACUCAAUGAUCUCCUGUAUCUGAACGACAGGGGAGAUGCAUCAUGUACAAAAAAGGAAUGAGUGAGUGCCUUCAUCCAAGCCACGAGCGACGAUUCGGCCUUGGCAUCACAAACUGGUUCAGUUUGAUCUCGCACGAGUGGGUAGGUCCUCGAUGGCAUGUGCGCCAGUUCCACCCUACGGUCGAAGGUCGCAGCCUCUUCCUUCUGCAGGUCACCGCCUCCUGCUUCUACAGACCGUGCCCCAUCCCCCCAUUCCCGCAGCGAACAGGCCGUUCACCACCGUCACCAUAGUUCGUUCACUACCGACAGCCGAGGCCGUUCAACGAUGCAACGACGAGGUGUGGCCUUCCCCCUUCCUCUUGACAUGUAGCAUAUUCUACAAAAUAUGAGAUGCUCUCAACUGAAUAAAGAGUGUGACAUGCAAGUUCAGGUAUUACUGCUGCAGGAGUUCAAAAAUCUCAACAAUCCAAGCUCAAACCAAAUUUCAAGAAUUGUUUCCUUCAUAAAUUAGUUUUCUUUUGGUUAAUUUGUUGUUCUGGACAGUAUAGAUGUACAUUCUUGUGUAGUACUUGUGUGCAUUGUAUAUAUUCGUUUCAAGUUCAAAAGAAUAUAAUAAAAAAGUUUAUAAAAGAACCCAGAACAUCCGGUAAUUCUGGAAUCUGAGAGUUUGGAAAAAAAUGAUAUAAAAUGAACAUGGAGAGGGUUUUUAUUUCAUAGAAGUUGUAGAACAAAAAGGAAAGAAAAACCAUGUUCUCUAUUAUUGUUAUUUUGUUACCCUCAUGGUGUUUACUGAAAUGCCUACAACAACUAAAUGUGUUUUCUUUUCAUGUUUCUCUUUUGUUAAAAUGAAGCUAAGGUGUUGUACUACUCUAUUAUGUACAUCCGGGCAUGAUGCACAGAAUAAAAUAUUAUGAGAUCCUUGGUUUACUUACAGGGUAGGUCAUUAGUUCAAACCUAACAUAGAAACUCCUUGCUUGGCAUUCGAGCUCUUGUUUUCGCAAGACUAGUACUAGUAAAUGUUAUUUCACUGUAUAUUCUUUCCUCAGUCCAUAGUUGUUGUUACCUCUAUUUUCUAUCUGAAGUUCAGUUCUAGUGCGGUGAUAGUAAAUGUUGAACAUUCAAUUUAUUAUGUUGAAUAAUAUACCGCUAAACACCCUACAAAGUUUUUGCUUGAGUGCUAUUCAAAGUCAGUUAUGUUUUCCUUUCAUGCUGCACAUGUAAAUUGAAAACGGUUGAAAUGAGAAUUUAGUAUGUUUUGGAGAGCAUAAUUUCCCAAGUGGCAAAUUUGAUCUGUACCCGUAAGUACAUGAUUAAAAUUUUAGGAUAUCCGUAAGUACAUGAUUAAAAUUUUAGGAUAUCCGUAAGUACAUGAUUAAAAUUUUAGGAUAUGUGUGGUCCCAGUAAGUACACCGAGUACUAAUUAGCAAGUUUGAUUGCUUCUGAAAACUCAAAAUGCCAACAUGUACUGAUGCAUUCCAAAACUCUGCUGUGUUUUCAAGAAAAAAAGUUGUUCGGUUUUUGGUGGCCAAGUAUUAUUGAUAUGGAGAUGAAUAACUAUGCAGAUGCACUCCUGCUAUUUUUUUGGAAAAACAAGAUGUCUUUGCAUACUUCAAAGUUGAUGCUUGCUCCCACCAUUCAGUUGCGCAAGUUCAGUGGGUGUCGUCGAGCAUGUUCAGAAGUAUGCCCUUUGUGUAAAAGUGUGAAUUUUUGUCAGUAUUUUGUAUAUUUCAUUUGGCAGAGGUUUCAUGUGAUCUUUUGGAGCUUUAUAGAUGUACUGUCAUUACAC